CCCUUCCAGAGAGGUCAUCCAGGAAUGUAAUGAGACGCUCGGUGUUGUAUGGCACAACCCUUCCAGAGAGGUCAUCCAGGAAUGUAAUGAGACGCUCGGUGUUGUAUGGCACAACCCUUCCAGAGAGGUCAUCCAGGAAUGUAAUGAGACGCUCGGUGUUGUAUGUCACAACCCUUCCAGAGAGGUCAUCCAGGAAUGUAAUGAGACGCUCGGUGUUGUAUGUCACAACCCUUCCAGAGAGGUCAUCCAGGAAUGACAUCCACCCCUCUGGUCCGGGACAUCCACCCCUCUGGUCCGGGACAUCCACCCCUCUGGUCCAGGACAUCCACCCCUCUGGUCCAGGAUAUCCACCCCUCUGGUCCAGGAUAUCCACCCCUCUGGUCCAGGAUAUCCACCCCUCUGGUCCAGGACAUCCACUGUGGCUCUUUUCCCAAUCACAUUCCUUCCUCACCGCUGUGUUUUGGCCAAGUUGAAACCAGCCUCAUCUACAAGGAUGAAUAUGCGGGGUGUUUGCUUGGCUUCAAUCUCCAUGACUCUCUAAAAUACAUCCACAAGGCAACAUAAGAGUUAGGCUAUUACGGUAGUUUACAUCAUACCUAAACAACAUGCCAUUAUGUGCCUCUGCCCUGUUUGGUUUUGUUCAAAACCAGUUCUGUAUUUUAUGAUAAUUUUACCUGGACAUAUUGGUUCCUGAGUUGUUUGACUCGUUCAGAGUUCCUCUCAAAGGGGACAGUGUACAACUGCUUCAUUCUGACUUGAUGUUUCAGGACUCUAGAAAUAGUUGUUAUGCUUACAUUGUGAAUAUUUCCAAAUGUAAUGUUGUCUGCCAACACUGUCCCAAAUCUCUGUGAGUUUUAUGCCAUUGUUUCUGAUGACCAUAUCAACAAUUGCAGUUCCCUGCACAGCAGUGAAAAUCCUACCUCUCCUGCCUGUGGGAGGUAACCGUUGGGUCCUAAGCAGAAAAACAAAAACAAUUACACACAAGUGGGUUUGGAGGCUUUGCUCAAUUUACUUCUGUAAUGAGCAGUUCAGUCAGAUGCCCUUGCAGAAUGCACAUCUUACCUGUUGUUUUGCCUGAAAUUUCUCACAAUAGAUGCCACUGUUGAGUGUUGCAGAUUUGGCUGCACUCUCAGACCAGCCUCUCAUUGAUAGACCACGAUUUAUUACAUAAUCAAUUAUAGUAGCUCUAAUGUCAUCUGAGACUACAGCUCUUGAUUUUCCUCUGUCUUCUUCCACCACACAUACAUACUCCUCUCCCUCUCCCAGCCACUCUUCUUCCUGUCAGCCACUUCUAUAUCUCUGGCUGGAUCCAUGUUUACAUUACAGUUCAGCAUUAUUCCUAAGAUGUCCCUUUUUGUAUAGAUGGUAAUGAAAUUGAAAGACGUAACACCUGGGUAGGUGUUGAGCUACAAUGGGAAUCAGCUGUGGUUGGUCUAAUUGUUUUGAUAGUAUUUCAUUUUUUUUAGAUUUGAAAUAUAUUUCAAUACGGUAUUACUGUAGAAAUGUAGCAAAUUGCUGUCUUAUUCAAUGUUGUGUUAUGUUUUGAACUUAAGUUUAACAGUUUUGAAAAUAAUACAGUUGAAGUCAGAAGUUUACAUACACUUAGUUUGGAGUCAUUCAAAUUCGUUUUUCAACCACUCCACAAAUUUCUUCUUAAUUUCUUAUGGCUGGGGGCACUAUUGAGUAGCUUGGAUGAAUAAGAUGCCCAGAGGUUCCCAGUGUAAACUGCCUGCUACUCAGUCCCAGUUGCUAAUAUAUGCAUAUUAUUAGUAUAUUUGGAUAGAAAACACUCUGGAGUUUCUAAAAACCGUUUGAAUGAUGUCUGUGAGUAUAACAGAACUCCUAUGGCAGGCAGAAACCUGAGAAAAAAUCCAACCAGGAAGUGGGAAAUCUGAGGUUGGUCGAUUUUCAACUCAUUCCCUAUUGAAGAUACAGUGGGAUAUUGGUCAUGUUGCGCUUCCUAAGGCUUCCACUAGAUGUCAACCUUCUCUAGAAACUUGUUUGAGGCUUCUACUGUAAAUAAGGGCUCUUUGAGUCAGUGGUCUGGCAGAGUGCCACAAACUCGUGACGCUCGUUCACGUGAGAGGUAGCUCCCGUUCCAUUGCAUUUCUGAAGACAAAGGAAUUCUCUGGUUGGAACAUUAUUGAAGAUUUAUGUUACAAACAUCCUAAAGAUUGAUUCUAUACAUUCUGUAAUUGAUUGAUUCUGUACGGACUGUAACUGAACUUUUUGACAUUUCGUCUGCUCCUAGUGAACGCGGUUUGUGACUUUGGAUUUGUUUACAAAACGCGCUUACAAAAGUAGCUAUUUGGACAUAAAUUAUGGACAUUAUUGAACAACAAACAUUUAUUGUGGAACUUGGAUUCCUGGGAGUGCAUUAUGAUGAAGAUCAUCAAAGAGGACCUGAGCCCUAGGACCAUGCCUCAGGACUACCUGGCCUGAUGACUCCUUGCUGUCCCCAGUCCACCUGGCCGUGCUGCUGCUCCAGUUUCACCUGUUCUGCCUGCGGCUAUGGAACGCUGACCUGUUCACCAGACGUGCUACCUGUCCCAGACCUGCUGUUUUCAACUCUCUAGAGACAGUAGGGGCGGUAGAGAUACUCUCAAUGAUCGGCUAUGAAAAGCCAACUGACAUUUACUCCUGAGGUGCUGACUUGUUGCACCCUCGACAACCACUGUGAUUAUUAUUAUUUGACCCUGCUGGUCAUCUAUGAACAUUUGAACAUCUUGGCCAUGUUCUGUUAUAAUCUCCACCUGGUACAGCCAGAAGAGGACUGGCCACCCCUCAUAGCCUGGUUCCUCUCUAGGUUUCUUCCUAGGUUUUGGCCUUUCUAGGGAGUUUUUCCUAGCCACCGUGCUUCUACACCUGCAUUGCUUGCUGUUUGGGGUUUUAGGCUGGGUUUCUGUACAGCACUUUGAGAUAUCAGCUGAUAUAAGAAGGGCUUAAUAAAUAAAUUUGAUUUGAUAAUCAAAGUGGGGUGUGUUUUUUUCCCUAAUGCCUCUGUUCAGACAUUCUGAGUAAAAGAACUAGAAAUCUUUUGCUUGUUUUCUUCCUGGCUGAAAUGCAGAUUUAACAUUCACUAGUAGACAGUAUGUCCCAAGAGGAAUGGUCUCGGCUGUUGUGUGUCUGGCCAUCUGCUUCAGCCUGACCUCUGCCUCUCUCCAACCCCAAUACCUCUCAGAAUUUGGGCUCUACAUUAUGCAACAAUUAUGCAACAUUGUAUAUGUAAAUUUUUGUUCAGGUGUACUGAAAUCAUGGAAUGUGGAUCUUGUGGAUUUCCGAACUGUGUCCAUUCUGCCUAUUUUCUUUGUAUGAAGAUUACUUUGUUAUGGAGACCUACAUCAGUAAGGGCAUGGAGGUAUGCCUAUAGGAUCAACAGGAGGUUAUUCAUUAAACAAAAAACAACAAAAUAUAUUGCUAAGGUAAUCUGAUGUCUGUGUCCAAUUUAUUUUGAUAGAGAAAUGUGAAUAUUUAGAGAGUUGGGUCUAUACACGAACAGAGCCACUUAGCUCCAGUGUGGUUUGUUUAGCCUGGCCUAUCAACCUUAAAGCCUGUGUGUUCAGUGUCUAGCUUCCCUAGGAAAUUAGCCAGGGGAAUUCCUGGCAUCGCUAGGAGAGAGUCAGAGUCGGGCCUCUUGAACCUCUGAACCAGGUGUCCCUCUGGUCCCGCCCACCAGGCUGUGGGAACUAACCUGUCAACAUUCUCUGCUGCCAAUGACUGGAACGAACUGCAAAAAUCACUGAACCUGGAGACCCAUAUCUCCCUCACUAGCUUUAAGCACCAGCUGUCAGAGCAGCUCACAGAUCACUGCACCUGUACAUAGCCCACCUGUAAACAGCCCAUCCAACUACCUCCUCCCCAUACUGUAUUUAUUUAUCAUGCUCCUUUGCACCCCAGUAUCUCUACUUGCACAUUAAUCUUCUGCACAUCUACCAUUCCAGUGUCUAAUUUCUAUAUUGUAAUUACUUUACCACCAUGGCAUAUUUAUUGCCUUACCUCUCUUAUCUUACCUCAUUUCCACACACUGUAUAUAGAUUUUUCUUUUUUCUACUGUAUUAUUGACUGUAUGUUUGUUUAUUUCAUGUGUAACUCUGUGUUGUUUGUGUCACACUGCUUUGCUUUAUCUUGGCCAGGUCGCAG
ensembl:lncRNA